rnacentral:rRNA from 1 species
UACAGAGGUCUCAAGCGUUGUUCGGAUUCAUUGGGCGUAAAGGGUGUGUAGGUGGCGCGCUAAGUCGGGUGUGAAAUUUCGGAGCUUAACUCCGAAACUGCAUUCGAUACUGGCGUGCUUGAGGACUGGAGAGGAGACUGGAAUUCGAUGGUGUAGCAGUGAAAUGCGUAGAGAUCAUGAGGAAGACCAGUGGCGAAAGGCGGGUCUCUGGACAGUUCUGACACUGAGACACGAAGGCCAGGGGAGCAAACGGG